CCCUAUGGGGUGCUUGAGGGCCACCAGAAUCUGGCGCAUCUCGUACUGCGCCGCUUUCGGGUAAAGGACCACAUGUACAUGUUCCGGCAUGAGCACGUACGCCCAGAGUGCGAGGCUUAGCCGUUUUCGCGCAUCCUCCAACGCCGCCAGCACCCAACCCCGCGUCCGAUCGCGGCUGAGUAGCGGCAGGCGCUGGUGGCACGAGUACGUCAGGAAGUGAGCAUGGCCCGGCUCGUUCCACGCUUGCCGCGUUUUCCGGAUCGGCAUCGCCAUUCGAUCAUCGUAACAAAGACACUGCUCAAGAGCAGUGGCACACGCGCACCUUUGGCCGGCGCGCUAGCCGAAUUGCGGGGCGCGGUUGUACACUUGAUGAAUUGGCGGGGGGGC
rnacentral:rRNA from 1 species